rfam:Caenorhabditis remanei strain PB4641 contig45.6, whole genome shotgun sequence.
GAAGCAUCUGAGGUAGUUUGUAAUGCUGUCGACGCACUGUAAUGUCUACAUCAUUUCAACUGCCUCGGCUGUUUU